AUGUUGGGUCUAAAUACCCUAAAGACAUUAGAUCCUGUCAGAUCUUGGAAGCUAAGCUGUGUAGCCCUGGCUAGUACCUGGAUGGAAGGCUGUCAGUGAAUACCAAGUGCUGUAGGUU
rnacentral:rRNA from 11 species